GUCUUCCGCUCCAAAUGGUUAGACAUACUUUCAGUAGUCAUCAACCUCAUUUUCCCAGUUUGGAGCAAUGAACUGCUUUGUUUGAAGCUGCAAACGACAGGACUGAAAACUACCAGAGAAUAUAAAGGACAUGCUGCACACAUGUGCUCUGUGGGAGAUGUUGAGGAAUUGCUACAGCUAAGGAGCAAGGGGAAAUAUACGCGAUUAAGAAAGAAUGUACUAAACCAGUCAUGGUGCCACACCAAUUGAACCACAUCUUUCAGGAGGCAGGUGAAAUUCUGGAAGUGUAGCUACCACCCCACAUCUAGAAGUUGUCUCUAUCAGAAAAUGAAGAUCAUAACAGAAAACUACAACUGGACACUAGAGGAGAACAAUGGAUCAUGGUGAACUGUGUCCCACUGAAUAUGUCUACAUCACAGCUCCUGCAUCUGUGGUUCAGAGAACAUUAUGAAAAAGUGGAUUUGAAAGAUGCAAGAGCCAGAACACCAGGAAGUCUUCUGUUUUAACAGUCUCUCCCAGAAAUUGCUGAAUAAACAAGAUCUGAGCCAUGGCAUUUCCAAUAGACAUGUUCAUGCCAAAGAGAGAACAGCUCACAGGGUCAUAGCUCUAGACAAGAAAUUCCAGCACAUUGGUGACCGCAGAGAGAAGAAGAAUUGACAUUUCCCAAGGAAAAGUUAGAGCCCCAAGCAGUUAUCCAAUAAAA